rnacentral:rRNA from 1 species
GACGAACGCUGGCGGCGUGCUUAACACAUGCAAGUCGAGCGGUAAGGCCCUUUCGGGGUACGACGAGCGGCGAACGGGUGAGUAACACGUGGGUGACCUCGCCCUUACGCUCUGGGAGUAAGCCUGGGAAACGUGGGUCUAAUACCGGAUAUGACUCCAUAACGCAUGUUGGUGGGGUGGAAAGCCUUGUGCGGCUAGGGAGU